UAAAACUUCUCUAGUGAAAGCUACCAAAGAAACUUUGACUGCAUCACGACAUUUGUCCUUGCUGAGACUACAGCUGUGUGUGCCCCAUACAGACUCACCACUACAGACGUUUUCCCUGGAGGGAAAGAAGUUAGCUACCCAGGAAGGAUAACCUCUCUGCCCUUCCAUGCCUCGUGGUGUCUGUCACCUUCUCCACCGUGAACCCACCGAGCUUUGCUCUGCAGAAUGCACAGUUAAAUGCUGACAUCUCCACGUCACUCUCUUCAGGAGACGCUAACUAGGGAAUGAUCUCUCCAGUGAUGCCAUGCAAUGCUGAAGCAUCUGAACAAGAAGCAUCAUUUCCAAUAUCCGGUGUAAUCAGAAGGAUACCAUCCUCCUGAAGAAAAGCCUAGUGGAUUAAGAGGAUGAGGCUUCUCUGUGUCUGCUGAGUUGCACCAACUGCCCUGGCAAGGCCAGAGUGGUAUACCCGCCUUCAUGAAGGAGGGAUUAAGAGAAACCACUGUUUGGUUGUGAGGAAGCAAGUUAGAGGCCUUUCUCCAGAUUAUGAGACUACACCUCUGCCCUAGGCAGUCUGCAGAAGAAACAA